AUUCCCGCAUUACUCCUCAAACCGAAACAAAAUAAACAUGAACCCUAAACUACGAAAUCAGAAAUUACAUGGCAAAUUGAAUGUUAGUUACCAGUUAUACAGUUAGUUGUGUUUACUUAUGUUGUGACUUGGAUUCUGUUAACUCUGUUAGAUAUACAGUUAAGAGUUAGUUAAUGCAGGUUAAAAUGAAAUUCUGUUAGUAACUGUUAAAAAAUUAGUUUGAGUUAGUUGGUUUGAAUGUUGUAUUAACUGGACUAUUAAAUGAAGUUGUUAGCUAAUGGUUAACAAAAAUAGUAUAAGUAAAAGUGUUAAUUAAAUGAAAUUGUCAGUUUCUGUUAGCUUCGAUACUAUGGAAUGAUAUGUAAGUCAAGAUGCAAGUGAGGUUAUGAGAUGUUGAGUUAGUUUGAAUUAUUAUGUUAGGGUGACUAAGAGGUCUUAUUAAUGUUAAUGAACUUAAGUGGAAUUGUCAUCUUUUUGUCAAGGCAAAUAGACUAAAAUAAAAUUUGAAAAAAAGAAGGUUAGAAAUUAGUUGACCUAUGGUUAGUUGUGUGCUACUUGAAUGGAGUAUAGUUGCUAUUGAAUGGAACGAGUAAGGGCCGGGACGAA
rnacentral:lncRNA from 1 species